GACGAACGCUGGCGGCGUGCUUAACACAUGCAAGUCGAACGGAAAGGCCCUGCUUUUGUGGGGUGCUCGAGCGGCGAACGGGUGAGUAACACGUGAGUAACCUGCCCUUGACUUUGGGAUAACUUCAGGAAACUGGGGCUAAUACCGGAUAGGAGCUCCUGCUGCAUGGUGGGGGUUGGAAAGUUUCGGCGGUUGGGGAUGGACUCGCGGCUUAUCAGCUUGUUGGUGGGGUAGUGGCUUACCAAGGCUUUGACGGGUAGCCGGCCUGAGAGGGUGACCGGCCACAUUGGGACUGAGAUACGGCCCAGACUCCUACGGGAGGCAGCAGUGGGGAAUAUUGCACAAUGGGCGGAAGCCUGAUGCAGCAACGCCGCGUGCGGGAUGACGGCCUUCGGGUUGUAAACCGCUUUCGCCUGUGACGAAGCGUGAGUGACGGUAAUGGGUAAAGAAGCACCGGCUAACUACGUGCCAGCAGCCGCGGUGAUACGUAGGGUGCGAGCGUUGUCCGGAUUUAUUGGGCGUAAAGGGCUCGUAGGUGGUUGAUCGCGUCGGAAGUGUAAUCUUGGGGCUUAACCCUGAGCGUGCUUUCGAUACGGGUUGACUUGAGGAAGGUAGGGGAGAAUGGAAUUCCUGGUGGAGCGGUGGAAUGCGCAGAUAUCAGGAGGAACACCAGUGGCGAAGGCGGUUCUCUGGGCCUUUCCUGACGCUGAGGAGCGAAAGCGUGGGGAGCGAACAGGCUUAGAUACCCUGGUAGUCCACGCUGUAAACGGUGGGUACUAGGUGUGGGGUCCAUUCCACGGGUUCCGUGCCGUAGCUAACGCUUUAAGUACCCCGCCUGGGGAGUACGGCCGCAAGGCUAAAACUCAAAGGAAUUGACGGGGCCCCGCACAAGCGGCGGAGCAUGCGGAUUAAUUCGAUGCAACGCGUAGAACCUUACCUGGGUUUGACAUGGAUCGGGAGCGCUCAGAGAUGGGUGUGCCUCUUUUGGGGUCGGUUCACAGGUGGUGCAUGGCUGUCGUCAGCUCGUGUCGUGAGAUGUUGGGUUAAGUCCCGCAACGAGCGCAACCCUUGUUCACUGUUGCCAGCACGUUAUGGUGGGGACUCAGUGGAGACCGCCGGGGUCAACUCGGAGGAAGGUGGGGAUGACGUCAAGUCAUCAUGCCCCUUAUGUCCAGGGCUUCACGCAUGCUACAAUGGCUGGUACAGAGAGUGGCGAGCCUGUGAGGGUGAGCGAAUCUCGGAAAGCCGGUCUCAGUUCGGAUUGGGGUCUGCAACUCGACCUCAUGAAGUCGGAGUCGCUAGUAAUCGCAGAUCAGCAACGCUGCGGUGAAUACGUUCCCGGG
rnacentral:rRNA from 1 species